ensembl:lncRNA
UGUGGUGAGACGCAGGGGCAGAGCCCUUUGUAAUGAUCAGGGCCGUCACAGCCAAUGGCUUGCGUCUCCACCUUAUUUAUUCUGAGGUAGCUUUUUGUGUCGGGAGGUGCCACAAUUUGUCUCCUCGUUAUUUCCUGCUACGCCCCUCCAGGCAACUUGCUACCGCGCUUGUGCCUGUUGCUUGCUGGUGCCUGCUGGUGCCCUGCCUUGGUUGGUGAUGCGUGCAGGUUGUUGAUCGCGCGUAACAGUCUCGGUGUGGAUUCCAACCGAAUGGUAACAUUCAGCGGUGCGCUGUGAGCCGCUGGCUUAAGUAGGAAGUUGCCAACUUCCUGGUACUGCCGAUUGUGUCGUUGCCGACUGCUGUUUUUGCCACCCGUUGUUUACCACCAAAGCUGCCCAACUGUCCUGGGCUAGCCUGGAGGAUAGCGGCGAAGACGCUAACGACCACUCCUUUUGAACGCGCUGAGUGCCCACCGCAGGGAGGCAACUAGAUCCUUUAGGUGGUGGUGCCCCCUUCCCGAGUGUGGUUUCACGUGUGUCCUCUGGGAAUUUCUCUUUUAUCAUUUUGAUCCUGUGUUGCGGUGUGAAUGUGCGAGCACGAGUGACUGGUUGGUGUUUAUGUGUCUCCCCCUCCGUCUCCUGGUAUCUUGCCCCCUGCUGGGUGGCGUUGUCGGUUAGCUUGCUUUUUCCCGUAAUGCCACACAAGCA